rnacentral:rRNA from 1 species
GAUGAACGCUGGCGGCGUGCUUAACACAUGCAAGUCGAACGGAAAGGCUCCUGCUUGCAGGGGUACUCGAGUGGCGAACGGGUGAGUAACACGUGGGUGAUCUGCCAUGCACUUCGGAAUAAGCCUGGGAAACUGGGUCUAAUACCGGAUAGGCCGAUGGUUUGGAUGCCAUUGUGGAAAGUCUUGUCGGUGUGGGAUGAGCUCGCGGCCUAUCAGCUUGUUGGUGGGGUAAUGGCCUACCAAGGCGUCGACGGGUAGCCGGCCUGAGAGGGUGUCCGGCCACAUUGGGACAGAGAUACGGCCCAGACUCCUAGGGGAGGCAGCAGUGGGGAAAAUUGCACAAUGGGCGCAAGCCGGAUGCAGCGACGCGGCGUGGGGGAUGACGGCCUUCGGUUUGUAAACUCCUUUCGCUAGGGAGGAAGCGCAAGUGACGGUACCUGGAGAAGAAGCACCGGCUAACUACGUG